rnacentral:lncRNA from 1 species
GCCAGGUGCAGGAGGCAAUCAGCCUGACCCUUCGCUGAGCUGUUAACACUUAGCUGUCCACAGACUGUAAGCUGAGUGAAAUGAGUCACUCCAGUUCCUGCCCACAAGGGGUUCAAGGUCAAGGGAACAAGUACCAUCUCAAGGCAACCAUCAGAGUCUCAGUCUGUCUCCCAGGCUGGAGUGGAGUUGUGUGAUCUCGGCUCAUUGCAGCUUCCACUUCCCAGGAUCAAGUGAUUCUCGUGCCUCAGCCUCCCGAGUACCUGGGAUUACAGACAUGCGCCACCACGCC